rnacentral:rRNA from 1 species
UACGGGGGGGGCAAGCGUUGUUCGGAAUUACUGGGCGUAAAGGGCUCGUAGGCGGCCAACUAAGUCAGACGUGAAAUCCCUCGGCUUAACCGGGGAACUGCAUCUGAUACUGGAUGGCUUGAGUUCGGGAGAGGGAUGUGGAAUUCCAGGUGUAGCGGUGAAAUGCGUUGAUAUCGGAAGGAACGCCGGUGGCGAAAGCGAGCUGCUGGACCUUUUCUGACGCUGAGGCGCGAAAGCCAGGGGAGCAAACGGG